rnacentral:tRNA from 1 species
GGGCCUUUAGCUCAGUUGGUCAGAGCAACCGGCUCAUAACAGGUUGGUCCGGGGUUCGAGUCCCUGAAGGCCCACCA